rnacentral:sRNA from 1 species
AGGCAUUAUCUUCAAGGGGAUUUAUUGGAAGACAUGAUUCAAGAAAAUAUGAAUAAAUUUUUGGACAAAAUGUCUGAAGAGAAAGGACCAUUCGUUUUCAACGAAUAUGUGGAUCUGAUGGUUUUUCAUCAACUGUACACAAUAUGUUUUGGAGAAAAAAGUAAACAGUGACUUUGUAGACAGAAUGCUUAUCGCCAAACAGGAAGCGACAGAUGAGGGCGAUGAGGCGGCCCUGGAGAUCUUGUAUGAUACGCACCUGGUCCAGACAAUUUCUGAUGUUUUCUUUGCCGGACGACGAGUCUGUUUGGGAGAAACGUUGGCCAAACCAGAGAUCCUACUGAUGUGUGCCAAUCUUGUACAGCGAUUUGAAAUAAGUCUCCCAGAGGGCGUGAAGCCCAAUUUAGAGCAUUAUAUGCAGGGAUUUGGUGUAGAGCUUCCGUCCGAUUACAAAAUCGUGGUGAAAGAGAGAAGUAGAGAUUAAAGAAUAAUGGCGCCUGUGAUCUUUUUUGUAUUACAGACACCCCUAACACAACUGACUAUUUAAUAUACAAUCUACUACACUUGCAUUUAACCCACAUGACUUACAUUACCUGUGUAGGGAAUUAAAAUCAUUGUUUAAACUACGAGGCAAUUAUAGUUGUCAAAUUGUUAUAGAAAAGUAUUUAGAUUGAUUGCGAAAUAUGCA